ensembl:lncRNA
GGAAGGGGGUCCUUUGCUCUAAUCUCCAGCUGCAUUUUGUUCUGUUUACCUACAGGGGAAAAAAGAAAAAAAAAACUUAAAAAAAAAAAAAGAAUAAGAAAGCAAGCUCCCUCCACUUGUGAGAGGCCCCAUGCUAAGGCAAUCUUUCAGGCACUCCGUCCGUCCCUAUCAUUUCUGUCUUUUCUCCAUGCGUCACCCUAGGGUUGGUGAUAGAGUUAAUACACACCUGGAUCUCCUGGCCCCUGUCUGCUCUGUUGGUUAUCUCACAAAGCUGGCCAUAGAGUGAUUUCUCCCAAGAAAAAGAAGCUGCAGGCUAAAUUUCAAAAAUCACCAGGCCCAACCUUGGUAUAAUCCAUAGACAGGGAAGAAGGAUAGAAAAUGGGCACAAGCCUCAGAGAACACUUUGAAGAAGUCUGAAUGAAGAGUUCCAAAUAUUUUAAUCAGGGUUAAUGAAGAAGGUGACACCUGGAAGCCACUGGGGUCUCCACCUCCACAGCCAGGAUGCCAUGUACACUCACUUUUGAGACUGAUUUUGAGCAUGGCUUCUUUGGUUUAUGAGGUCUUCACUGAGAUGUGGUUCUUUGUAUACAAUGGGAAAGGGUAUUACUAUCAUUAAGACUGAGAGACAUGCUUGCUUCCUUUAGGACCCAAACAAACCUAUUAAAUACUAAUAUUUUGUUUUCAAAGUUCCACUUGAAAACUCUACUUUUCAUAAAAGAAUAUCCAUGUUGAGCCAAAGUGUGAUAACCCACAGAAAUUCACACUCAAAAGUGUGAGCAUUAAGAGCCAUUGCUUCCAGACUGGUUUUCUGGUCUGCUCAGGCUAAGUCCAAGGAUGAUUUGAUGAAACAUCCACUGAUCCAAAAGGCAGCCAGAACUAUUAACAACUUAAGCCAGUGGAAUAAUGUUAGUUCGAGCAAUGAAGACCAUAGGAGCCUGGGCAUCAUCCCGACUAUCCUAGAACAAAUGAAAGUUAUCUCACUGCCUCUUCUGGGUUACAAAGACAUGGUAAUAACUCUACAGUGUUUUAGAACUGGGAAUGUUUAUGUUGCUAUUCUUAACAGAAGUGGAUAAAAGUGGAACUAACUGACAGUAUCUAAAGUCAACAGUGAGAUGAUACCACUUUAUAAAUAUCUCAUCCAGUUUUCUAGUUUUGCCCUUUCCCGCGGAAAAUCCAUCCUCCUAUGGCUAGUUUUGGCUUUUCUGAACUAAUUGCCUCUUCCAGAUAACAUAUUUGGUAUAACAGAGUAAGUAGCAAAUCAUACAUCUGCAUAGGUUACCUUUUAACAUCUCUAAUUUUCUCUAAAGCAAUUCAUCACAGCAACAAGGAUAUUUCAGCAGUUGCAUGAUGUUUCCCCAUGGCCUUUUGUCUUUCUUCAGGAAAAGCAUAUACCUCUCCAUUGCACACUGUUUUCUAGAACAAUGCUUGCUCUAAAUAAUCCAAGGAAGGAUGCCAUUUAGAUAUCAAUAGCUUCAAAGUUUCUUGCUAUCUUCAUAGCUAUUUUACAAGCACCCAUCAUUUUUAGGAAGUGCCUGACAAGAGAACCAUGCUAGGAAGGUGUUUCCCUGUACCUCCCAAGGGAAGUACUACUGGGACUCCUUGUGGGGGUAUAGUAGACAGUAGGCUUCUAAAUGGACAAAUAGGAAAGAGGGACAACCAGAACUGAAGUGAUCCAGACCACUUUUAUCCUUAUUACCAAUGGCAGCCAUUUGAUUCUCUCUCUUGCAUGAGUUAAGAAAUAGGAAGAGAGAGUUCUAUGAAAACUAGAGGAAAAGAAAAGCACUCCUUGUAUCUAGGAAACAGAGAAGGAGGAGUCCCACUCCUGAAUUUGCUUCAACUUCUUUUUAUGAAUUAGACAUUUUCAUUUUUGCUUUGCAGUAGAUUUUUGGUUGCUAUGUGGCUGAAUGAUUGUAUGCUUUAAGAUAAAUAAUGCAGUUAAUUUACACUUCAAUAAUGAAAUAUUAAAAGUUUAGCUCUGGGUCAGACCGAAGGCAUCACAAACAAGGAAACUACUUUGUUUGCUGGCCCUGUCACUGCACAGGCUGUACAAUGCAGUGCAUGUGGGAAGUGGACCAACUCUUCCACACAUGAAUUCUGGAUGGCCAUUUCCAAUCACACUUCAGCCAGCCAGGCCACAUGACAUAAAGGGCAAUAGGAGGAUGGGUGGAAAGUGGCCCUAUUAUUAGUCAUGUUUGCAUACAGAGGAUUCAAGUAGGCCUUCAACAUAAUAGUCCUAAUUAAAAAAGUACUCACCGCAGGCUAGACAAAGGGGCUUUUCCUCUUGCUAGAAACCAUUCAGAUGAUGGACAAGUCUUCUUUGAUAAAAGCUUACAAAGAAGACAUCCAAAGCACUGUCUAUGAUACUGGGUCACAUAUUAAUCACUGCAGCUAAUUGUAAAUCUUUCUAUGAAACACUGAAAAGCCUCUUUGUGAAUUAGUACAGUUCUGCUUGAUGCACUUGGUUUGCAAAGACAUUUCUCUGUAUGUGGUGCAUGUCAGCUGUGCUUUGAACAAGAACAAAGUUAGCAGAAUAUGUUCAAUAUAUUUUCUCGGGAAAUAGGGUUUUUAAUCAUAUGACUCAUUAAGGAUUUGCCUUACCCUGACAUUUGUGAUAUAAAGGAAAAUCAGGAAAAAAUAAUUUUCUUGAACAAGAUAUGUUUUUACUUAAUGCGGAUAAAUGUAGUCUGUUGCUUGCAAGAGAAAAGAAAUGUCUUCUGGUAUUAAUAGGGUAACACGUGCCUCUUUUGUUAAACCAGUCUUGAAAUGCUGGAUGGCUUCUGAGUCUGUUUGUCUCUUUUCAUCAGUGCCACACACUAUGACACUUAAAUGACUGUUGCCUUCAAACUAUAUUUGUUAGAGCAGAGUGCAAAUAAACUUCUUUGAGAGGA